rnacentral:rRNA from 1 species
AUGAGAUUGUCGAGAUCCUGCGCUUGUGUGUUUUGCUACAACCUUGUACAGUUUUUGCUACAACCUUCUGCAUUUUUUGCUACUACUGGAGAAGCCCCUAGCUGGACCACAAGUUAUUUUUGCUACAACCGUUUUGUGGUUUGCUGCAACCAGUGUCAAUUUUUGCUACCACCGACUUCUUUGAUUUUUCUGGAACCAGCGCUCGAUUUUUUUAUUUUUGCUACCACUAGCGUUUCGAUUUGCUGGAACAAGCUUCAAUUUUUUUGCUACCAUCAGGUUUUUGGUUUGUUGGAGCGUCGUCGAUUUUUUCUAAUUUUGCUACCAACGUUUUAUUAA